AGACCAAAGAGACUCACUGCAGGGAGUGGAGCAUUAGGAACUGUUUCAGUCCUUCAGCAACAUAUGGCCAAAGACGGGCUGAGGGAGUUUUCAGACAAAGAAAACAGCUGCAGUCUGAGGGUACAAAUGCCACUUUCACUGGGGAGAUGAUGGGACUUCAUGCUAUUAUCUUGGUCCAGUUCAAUUCCUUCUUGUUGCAAGCUGCACUUCAGUGACAUGGAGACCUUCCCUGGGUGCUCCCCUGAGAAGGAAGCCCUGACCCACCCAGGGAGGCCAGCCCAAAAAGGAGGACAGCUGGGAGAUGAACAGAUCUCCUCCACACUCCUGUCUAUGUCUGGGAAAAUGGCUUUCAGCUCUGAGGCACUCCCCAAGUAACUUGAGUCGUGGCAGUGUGAGUCCUCAAAGCUCAGUCCAGCAGCCAGAGACCAUCAGGUGAUGAAUGAAUCCUGUCUGGACUCCGGCUUUGUAAGGAAAGCAGAAAGGCUUAAGGUGUAUGGCAAAUUCAUCAGAAUAUGAUGCAAACAUUUCAAACCUGUGCAAGAGCAUCAGUUUUCUGAAAAUGGUUAAAAGAAACUCUGAACCUCUUUUUUUUCCAGGUUGGUAUUGAUGUAUUUACAGAAUAUGGUAUUACAGAGGCUGCAAUAAUUCUUUGAUAAUGCAGUGCAUACCUGCUGUUUGAAGAACUGAUUUUUGUAUCGGAACAUAAAGCACAAAAUUUUUUUUUCUCAUUAGCAUGAAGGACUUCUAAUGUAUAAAUUGCAAUUGCAGGAACAAAGGCAAAUCAACCUUUCCUUCAGAUUAUGAUCUUCAAAGUCAGAGAAGAGCUACAUCGGUGUUCAACUCUUCCAUACGGCGCAAGUAAAUCGAAGAAAUGCCCCUAUUCAGCAAGGGCAAAGCCUUACAGAUAACCUUUCCUUCCUCUUUAAGCCUACUGCCUUCCAUCCAUUAGUGAUGGGUACUGCAAACUGCAGCCACAUCACUGAAUCUGACAAAGUUAUGCUGAACCCAGAGGGAUUAUGGUGAUUUGCCUGUAAUUUCUGGACUUCAGCAAACACACAAAUGCAUUUAUGAAGUACUGACUAUCCUUUCAGCUAACUCUUCAUUAAAAUGUAUUUAGAUGUCCUUCAAAAGAAAAAAAAUCAUCUUACAGUGAAACUCAAACUGGCUGAUUCCCAGGCUUACAGUUACUUUCCUAUCAAGAAUUAAUGCAAUAUCAUGCACACACCAUUACUGAAAAAUUCUACGCUGUUUUUUGCCAAGUGUUCCUAUAUAACAGUUUUAUCACAAGUCUGACAGCCGCCAUAAAAAUUCCAGGCAUUCUAUAUCAACAGCCCUCUUUGUACUAAGUUAUUAAACAUUAAAUUUUUAUUCGUCAUUUGUAUUCUGUUAUGCAAAAUAAGCUCCUUGAUAAGAUGUGUCUUCUUAAUUGGGCCCUUGAUGCUUCUUGGAUUGGAGUUGUCAGAUUAGCUGGAAGAAGAGGCUCUGCAUUGAGCCAGCUCGCUACCAGGAGACCAAUAGCUUUGUAACAACGAUAUUAAGUUAGAGGGGCCAAAUGGAGGGCAGCACUAGGCUCAGGUGAGACUCUACAUCUGUGCAUGUCUUAUGCUCAGGCACUUUUCUCAUAGCAUCAGCAGGGCUGAUGGAAAUAGAUUUGUUUGUUGUUUACAGCAUGCAGCUGUGGAUGCUGCUGCAUGGGAGUUGUAUAAGAUUGAAGCAAAUUUGUACUGAGACUAAAAUAUUGAGCUUUUCUCCAGUCAGCAGUCUCUGGAAUCUUAUUGUUGAAAACUUUAUCUAGUUGUAACCCUCCCCAGGGUGAUUUUUGUUUGCAGCUGCCCUGCUCUCUCUCACUGCCUAUCCCACACUGCCUUCACCUCAGCCAGCACAGGAGUGGGCUCCUGGUGCAGGAGGUAGUGGCUGGGCCAGGCAGAAGUAAUGACAAUUGGGUCAAGCAUUUUGUACACUGGGUUUUCCAGAAAGCUUUUUCAUUCCCACAAAUCCCUUCGACAGCUGUCAUUAGGAGACAUCAUUAUUUUCUUCCCUCUUAGCUACAAGCUGCAGAAAGGGCUCAACAUUUAGUGUGGCACUUGGUGGCAAAGCAUAGAAAAUCUCUAAGCACAUGGAGAAAAAAAAAAGAAAGCCCUCAUCAAAACGUAGGAUUUAUAAUUUUCAUAAGGUAGACCAGUUCUAACAGAAGUAUAGCAUGUUUCCAGGUUGGUGCUAGGAAUAUACUUGAUUAAAGCCUCUGGUAUUUUUUUUUUUUACUGAAUUCUCCUGUAAUUCUGAAAAAAAAAGACUCCCUCAUUUUAUCAGUUAUUGGCUGUGUUACAGCCAGACAUGGAGACCUCACCAACAUCUGUGCUUUGAGCAGGAGCAGAGCUGCUGCCUCAUUAGAGCAGCUGGGCCAGGAGAGUGUGAAGGGAGUCACCUUUCCAGUUUGCAGAUGGGAAGCAGAGGGUCAAUGGUAUGACCAAAGUCACACUUGGAGGCUGAGGUGGAACAACACAGCGAACGGAAACUUGUCACAUUUCAACCAUCAGACCUUCUGCUUGUCAUAAUUAAAAAAGGUUUAUUUAGUAUUUAGCAAAAUAUUACAUCUCAGGAUGUUGUUUGACCUGCCAGAGCACAUUGCUUUGUUUUCCUAAACAUUAUAAAUCCUUCUGUAAUUUUCAUUUAAGACACGCUGUGGGGUUGUUUUUUUUUUUUCAGAUUUUUGGCACAAAAAUAACUUAGAAAUAUUGGCAUGUAAUAUUAUGGGGAUUUAGUAACCUAUUGCUGUGAGAUUCUUUUGGAUUGUUAUCUAGGAAACAUUUAGUGUUUUUAAUGUGGACUUUUUUGAAAGAAGCCUUUUAAAUGAGUGCAAACCCUAAUCCAAUGAAUGUGCUAGUGUACAUUUUCAUUUCAGUACACCUGCUGCAGUUUAACUUAUGGGUGACGUAAAGGAAUAGAAGCAGUCUCAGCUCUUUUACUAACUUCUCUUUAGCCACAGUGAUUUUUUCUAAGUACUUCAUCUCUAUGGAACGUUUGACUGAAGUUUUGAUAUCCAUCUGGAGAAACAAUUUCUUUAGAAGAAAGAAGGCUGUAUAUUGACCCUAUGCAGAGCUGUCUAGUUUUGAAUGAAGGCCUUCUGCAAACCUCUCUGUGUUUGCUCACACACGUCCCCACACAGGCUCCAUGACUACAAGGCUGUUGUGGAUCACUGGCUAUUGCAGCAGCAGGACUGAGAAUAUUAGUUUGCACCUAACAUGUUUUGUGCUUUUAGCUGGGACAAGGGUCAAACAGCGGAGGCACGGUAGGGGAAAAGGCAGCUGUAACAUCCAAAGACAUUACAAAGAUGUGUCAAGACAUCCUUUCUUUCUGUUAUGUGUGUGAAGAUCUGCUUGCUUGCUUUCAGGCUAAGGACACCUAUUCCUCCUAGGGAAACCUUCCCAUUCUAAGGCCACCUAUGCCAGACCUGUGUUCAAAGACAAGAAAAAGUCAUGUGGUUCCUGCUAAGGCAAUAAAACCACUCAGUGACAAUGAGGAAGAUGUAGCUGGGAGGUGUCCCAGCUUCGGCAUCUCUCACGUCUCAAGGGUGAGGCAGCAGUAGGUGUUGGCAGUUCCCUCCCCAGCUCUACAGUCAGCUCCUGAGAGAGGGAGGACAGGAGCAAAGAAGGUGUGCAUUUCCAGCAUUGCUCCGUUAUGCAUUCAGAGCAUUUUCCCUGAGGCAGGGAGGAGCUGCUUGCUCACUCCCUGCCCUGUGCUCUGCCCAGCACAGCUGGAGCAACCCUGUUGAUGCUGACAGCACUGAAUUUCCUAGAUGUGACCUCCACACCUUCCAGGAAUAGAAUUUUAAAGGAGCUUCUGUGCCUAAUUUCCAGAUUUGAAAAGUUGUUCUGCACCUUACUGUGCUUAGAACUGAAGCUGUAGGCAUGUCCUGCAGGUCAGUCAUGGGCAUGUGCACUUGUGUGUGGCUAUUCUGUCUCUCGUCCUUCCCUUCCAUCUUCAGCUCUGAAGGGUGAAGGGCACUUGGCUCAGAGCCUGGCAGCUGACCAGGUGGUGUGCACCAGUGCCAGGAGAGGAUUGCUGGGGCACAGUAUCCUGCCAAAGGUCACACUCUGGUAGGUUGGUGGCAGAGAUAGCCCUGAGCCAUCCGUUUCAGGACCAUCUCAGCUGUCUGAGACUGAAUGUUAUCUGCAGCCUUCCCUGAAGAGAGUUGUUUUAGCUGCCAUUUAGCUUAGAAACAUAAGGCUCCUUCCUUGACUCAGAAAAGUCUUUCUGACAACACUUGAGACAGUUUUUGAGCCUUGUUUAUAGAAAAUUACAAAGAUUUCUAAAGGAGGAAUGGAGAGAGUCUUUAAAUUCUGGGGAGAGCAUACUCUUAUCUGCAGAAUUAAAACCCACAGUCCUGACUGGCUUAAUGGAUACCUUACAUCUCUAAUAAUUCUUUCAAGAUACACCAGCUAACCCAUGUGAUUUCAGCAGCCAUGGCUCCAGCAUCUGGCUGUGUUUUGACGUUUCGAAGAUGUAGAGGUAUUGUGUGGAAUUGCAAUGUUUUUGCUCAAACGUCAGUGAUAAUAUUCCUGGCAUGCUCUAGCAGUGGAUAUUCCUGUACCUCGGUACCUCAUUAUCUGCAGAUGCCAUAAUGAGAAUAUGAACGCUGUCAAUCACUUUGAGACACUUGUGAAAGCAGUAACACAGGAAAGCUUUCCUUGAUUUUUUUCUUACUGCCCUGUGUUGGUUGGCUGGGAAAAUCAGUGGACAUAAGGAACUGCAACUUUGUUUGGCCUGUUCUUAAACUUGGAUCUGUCAGGUCUCAGGCCACUCUCCUUGAAUAUGUCCAGUUGAUCUUUCCUUCAGAGGGAUCAAAUGACACACAGGGAACUCUCCUGGAGACUUUCAGACAGCUGUUACCUGUAAGACAGGUUGUGGGGGACUUCAGUGGUUCAUCCCAGAUAUGACCACUGAUGCAAGAUAAUUCUUAAUUAUAGCAUUAAGAUUUAUGUACUUUUCCUACUGUUUUACUUCAAGACUACAUAGGCAGCUCAGGUUCAAAGUAGAAAAAUCAUACUUUCUAACCCAACAGUAUUCAAAAAGCUUGAGGAGAACAGGCUAUCCCUGGAAACCAUCUUUUCAUCCAGAAGGGCUUUCCCAAGCUACAUGUGUGAAGGUUUUUAAUAAGUUUUAUGAAAUCCCUACAGAUGUAGAUACAAAACAUCUGCAAUACUUGACAGCUUCACAGAUUUAUUGAAGUUAUUUCUGAAAGGCAUAUUCUGUAAGUAAACAUCUUGCAGUUCCUAAUUAUCAAAAGGGGAAAUAGUUUGACUAGUCUCUCCUUAUUUUUUGCUCAUUUCAGUUUGACAUCCAUGGAAUAUUGGGUAGAUAAUAUUAAUCUUCCUUGACUUUGAUGUCUAAAAGUUAGACAAUUAAGUCUGAGCUAGUUACCCUUUAAAGUCAGUGGAGUGAAACAGGGCAGUUUGUGCUAAGACAGAGUCUUAGUAUUGGUCAAAUGAGUUGGAUUUAUAGUCUCCACUGAUUAUAAAAAAGGAUGUAGCUUAGCGACUAGUGCAGGCUCCACAGUUGACUUUACAUAUUUAAUGCUGGCUGAGAAUGAUUCCACCCAUCACUUGCCAAAAUAUUGCUCCAUGCACUUGUGUUUCCUACACAUCUGGCAAAGAGCCUGCAGAAGCUGAGGUGGUUCUCUGGGGGUGCUGGCCGGGGGUCUCACCUCACCUGGUUAUGUUGCAAACCAGCCCAGCAAAACCUCCUUUCACCUCAGCAGUGCCCUGGUGCCCCUGAUGAUGUACUGUGUGCUGGAGGGGGCAAUGAUGACUCUGGUAAAGUGGAUAAUAAUCUAAAUCAGGUGUAGGGAAGCAUCUCUGUUUCCCUGAGGAAAGAUCACUGCAUCCUUGGCCAAAUGGGGUCCCAGCCUUUGGGUCUGCUCUGCUCCUGCAGGAUGAGGUGAGAGCCAAAGAGCUUUUUGGAGAGUUUCAGGAAGUUGCUCAUGUAUUACUCUCCUCUGUUUUAAUUAAUAAAUUAAUGAAUUCAAUGUUGAUUUUGCAAUGCUCUUUUGAGAAGGCAUGAUAAAGAGUAAUCACGAAUGGGUUGGUGGAAGGCUGAAAGUGGAUUAGGAUUCACAGAUGAUGAGGAAGGUGCCCACAGGUGGGAGGUGACACAACUGGGUAGCAGAGCAGAAGUGUUGGGUUUCAUUGCUGGGUGCAUCCCUGGCCUUCUGGGCAGCUUCUGGUUUUAUCAUUGCACCCCCCUAGACUGACCACACUUGAACAAUUCUGUUGAGCUUUUUUUCUGUAAACUGGUUGGAUUUCCAUUCUGGACCUAUUGAGCCCCUUUGUAUUUUACAUCACUUUUGCUACAAGUCGUUUGAGCACAGCUCCUCACAUCCUACCCUUGCAUUUAACAUGAACGUAAUUUAGCAUAAAGGUGAACUCGAUUUUAUCAUUUCAUCAGGGCUCUACACUGAAAUUUAAACAUGAUGUGUGUUUUUGCUGAAUUCAUUUUACCUGUAUAAUCUCUCAUUAGAAUGGUAUUGCCUUCCAGAGGGUCACUGCAGACUUGCACUGAGAUCAUUUUGUCACUGCAAGCUUGUGUGAUAAUGGGAUUACCAUAGGCAUGUUUUGAAAUUGUUCUAAGAUUGCUGUGAGGAUGUUAAGUCCGUGUGCAAGAGUUUGCCUCGCUAAGAGUAGCACAAACCAAGCUAGAAAACCUGAGAAAUGUAAAUGUGUUACAGAAAGGAAUACACUUGACAUAUCUUGCUCAUGACAAGAAUCAUUUGUGUUUCUAGAAGUUUUGCAACAGGCAUAAAAGUAAAUGAGGAAUAUGUGAUAGAAAUUAAAUAUUUAUUACAGGUCAGAUUUACAUAUAUACACGAAAAUAAAUACAGAGAAAUGCAAAUGGAGUUACUAUCAGUGUCUAUAGAAGCAAAUGCUGAUAUCAAUACCUACUUAAACAGCUGCAUGUGGCACCACAUUUCAUCAGAGCAAUAAUGGUGUCUGUCUGCUGGGGCUGGCCAAUUGGAAUAACAGGAUAAUUUAGGUUGGAAAAGGCCUCCAAGAUCAUUUAGUCCAGCCUUUGACUGAUCCCUGCCUUGUCAGAGCACUGAGUGCCACCUCCAGUUGUUUCCUGAACUCCUCCAGGGAGGGUGACUCCACCACCUCCCUGAGCAGCCUGUUCCAAUCUUUAAACACCUUUUCCAUGAAGAAAUUCUUCCUGAUGUCCAACCUAAUCCUCCUCUGGUGCAACGUGAGUCUAUGUUCUCUUGUCCUGUUGCUAUUCCAAAAAUUGUGUCAUUUUUUAAUUGUUAAGUAAAAAUGUCCCACUACCAUCAUUAGCAUCAGUAUCCUGGUAUAUAUAUAGUCAUGUAUGAUUUCUUGUUUGAAAUGCUGAUAACUAUCAUAUGCAGAAGUUCUGAUCAAAUAGAAAGUGAAAGAGCCCAUAAAAUUAAUGUCAUGGAAAUAAAGAAUUAUUACAGCGUACUCAAAUUUUAAACAAGUAAUGGGAAGUAUUUAAUUUCUGCUUAUCAUUUCUGAUGCUGUUUGUAUUCUUAAGGCCUAUUUAAUUAAAGAGAGCUUGUGUCUCCUUUUGGGAAAAUAAAAUAACUCCACCCAGAGAGGUGUAUUAUAUUCUAUUCUAGUUCUGUCAGCUCCUUGGUUUGUUUUUUUUUUUCCUUUUGAUUACAGGGCGUAUUUGCAAUGUGAUGUAGUGUAGCAGUAUUAUUUAAAAUAUGGCUAUUAAGCUUACCUACCAUUCUGAAAGCUAGGCAAACCUCAGAUCAUCCUGAAUGCUUUCCCAUCCAAACCUUAGCAGUGACAGAUUAGCUUAGCAAAGACCUUGCCUGGCUGUCCCAGCUGGUUUCUAUACUCAUUUCAAAAAUAUGUUUUCAUCAAAAGCUCUUCAGCUGACAGCGGAGUUGGGGGGCAAAUAAAACAGUAAAACUCCUGGCAAUUUAAUUUUUCAAUGAAAGCUUUGACCAAAAAAAAAAAAAGUUCAUUGUUAAAUCCUGCUCAUCUUCAGCGUUUUUUCUGAGUAGCUUUUUAAGGAACCUCUAGCUUUUAUUACCAAUUCCAGCUCAGAAACCAUCAGCCUUUCAGAGAGCUCAAAGGAAUUCUCAGCUGUCCCUGAGGACACUCCAGUCUACCAUGGUGGGUUAAGGUGGGUCAUCACAGCAUGAGAUACAUCUGGGAUGUCCAUACACGGGGCUGGUGAGUCAGUGCCUGGAGUUGUGGGACAAGGGCUUGGAGCAGCAGGCACUUUAAAAGCAAUGCUGCCAAGGGUUGCAGUCAUUAAAUCAUGGAAUAAUUUAGGGGGACCUCUGGAUAUCACCUACUCCAACUGCUUGCACAAAGCUGGGUUAAAAUUGUAAAAUACCUGCAUCACUUUAUUUAUUGUCUGAUCUAAUUUCAAAAUUGUCUCACCUUUCAUUCAAGGGUAGAAAUGCACCUCUGAAAAUGAAAUUUUGUAGUGGGUUUGCAAAAGGGCAAGUUGAGGUAACCCACUGCAAAGCUGCUGGCCAGAUCCACAGAUUUCCUACCCGGUCUUGCAGCUUUGUGCUUUCCUGCUAGGAAUGCUGCCUGUCUACAGGACAAUUGGUUAUUAUUUACAUGGAGGCACAAGAUCCUUGUAAUAAAAUGCCCAUCAAAGCACCAAAACAGUCAUCAGCGUGGGCUCAUUUUUUCUCUUGGUAUCAUUCAGAGCUCUAUACAAGUGUUUCCCAUGUUGACCCUUGCUGCAGAAAUUAGAAGAGCUUAGUUAUUAAAGCAAUGUGGUUUGAAAUUGCCUUGGUAGUUGCUAAGCACAUCUGUGAUUACAACAACUUAGAUUUGCCUAAAAACAUAAAGCUUUGAGUGAAAUAUUAGAGAAUCAAGGGAAAAUAAGGCUUUUAUGUGUAAAUGACAUAUGCUGGACAACCAAAAUAAAAAAACCUGCAUGUGGUUA